rnacentral:rRNA from 1 species
AUGAAACUUAAAGCACCUCUGGGCCUGGCUCACUGGAAACGCAUGAAUCGACAGUUUCUCCAGGGCCAGGCCCGAGCGGUGCACGUGGGCGGCGGCGGCUGCAUGCACGCGGCCACACUCGAGAAGCCGCGUUGCUUCCCGAAGCGCCGACAGUUAUUAGCCUCACCGCCCCUCACCGCUCCCUCUCCCCACUCUUCUCCACUCUCCCAACUCUCACCGGCGGCGGCGGAUCGAAGCAGAGGAAGAAGACCACUGGACUCCAUCAGCGGCGAGCGGAUCAGCAGUUGGCCCGCAGCAAUGGCGAUCGAGGAGAGCAAUGAGAUGGGCAUGGAGGUUGACAACAAGGGCAAGCAGCCCCUUCACCCAAUGCCCGACGAGGUUGUGCUGCCGCCCACCACCGAGGAAGACCUGAAGAUGCCUGAGGGUGGCGACGACGAGGGCAUGGAGGAGCCCCCCAGCAACAAGCGUCGCAACUACGACCACUACCAUCAGGAGGAUGGCCCGACUCACUUCUGCAAGGUCAUCCUUGCACCGAAGCUUGAGUGCAUCCCCAUGCCCCUGGACUUCAUCAAGCACUUCGUCGCGGUGCCGACGGAAUUCAAGCUCAGGAACAACACCAGCUGCUGCUGA